rnacentral:rRNA from 1 species
UAGCAUAUCAAUAAGCGGAGGAAAAGAAACCAACAGGGAUUGCCUCAGUAACGGCGAGUGAAGCGGCAAGAGCUCAAAUUUGAAAGCUGGCCCCCUCGGGGUCCGCGUUGUAAUUUGCAGAGGAUGCUUCGGGUGCAGCCCCCGUCUAAGUGCCCUGGAACGGGCCGUCAUAGAGGGUGAGAAUCCCGUCUGGGACGGGGUGUCUGCGUCCGUGUGAAGCUCCUUCGACGAGUCGAGUUGUUUGGGAAUGCAGCUCUAAAUGGGUGGUAAAUUUCAUCUAAAGCUAAAUACUGGCCGGAGACCGAUAGCGCACAAGUAGAGUGAUCGAAAGAUGAAAAGCACUUUGAAAAGAGAGUUAAACAGCACGUGAAAUUGUUGAAAGGGAAGCGUUUGCGACCAGACUCGCCCGCGGGGUUCAGCCGGCAUUCGUGCCGGUGUACUUCCCCGUGGGCGGGCCAGCGUCGGUUUGGGCGGUCGGUCAAAGGCCCUCGGAAUGUAUCACCUCUCGGGGUGUCUUAUAGCCGAGGGUGCAAUGCGGCCUGCCCGGACCGAGGAACGCGCUUCGGCUCGGACGCUGGCGUAAUGGUCGUAAAUGACCCGUCUUGAAACACGGACCAAGGAGUCUAACAUCUACGCGAGUGUUCGGGUGUCAAACCCGUACGCGCAGUGAAAGCGAACGGAGGUGGGAGCCCCCUCGUGGGGCGCACCAUCGACCGAUCCUGAUGUCUUCGGAUGGAUUUGAGUACGAGCGUAGCUGUGGGGACCCGAAAGAUGGUGAACUAUGCCUGAAUAGGGCGAAGCCAGAGGAAACUCUGGUGGAGGCUCGCAGCGGUUCUGACGUGCAAAUCGAUCGUCAAAUUUGGGUAUAGGGGCGAAAGACUAAUCGAACCAUCUAGUAGCUGGUUCCUGCCGAAG